GGCCUGGUGGUGUAGGGGUAACACACCUGUUCCACAUUCAAGGGAUGCUCUGAUACUUGAACAGGAGUUCAAUUCAAGGCCAGGCUG